rnacentral:rRNA from 1 species
UUACGCUGUUAUCCCUAAGGUAAUUUAGUCUUCUAAUCAUUAAUAAUGGAUCAAAAGCCUAUAAAUCAAUAUUAACAAUAAAAAAGAGUUAUAUUUAUCUUUUCAUCACCCCAACAAAAUAAUUACUAAUUAAAAUUCCACUACAUAUUAUUAUCAAUUUAUAAUUAUUAAACUCUAUAGGGUCUUCUCGUCCCAUAAAAAAAUUUAAGCUUUUUAACUCAAUAAUUAAGUUCAAUUCUUAAGGAUAAGAAAGUACUUAUCUCGUCCAACCAUUCAUUCCAGCCUCCAAUUAAAAGACUAAUGAUUAUGCUACCUUUGCACGGUCAAGGUACCGCGGCCAUUAAAUAUAAUCAUUGGGCAGGUCAUACUUCCUAAAUAAUUCAAGAAGAGAUGUUUUUGUUAAACAGGCG